rnacentral:tRNA from 1 species
GCCCGGGUGGCGGAAUGGUAGACGCUGGGGACUUAAAAUCCCUUGACAGUAAUGUCGUGAGGGUUCAACUCCCUCCCCGGGCA